CUAUUGUCUGAUUAUGGCAAUUUUGUUACCUUCAUCUAGGAUGCUACAGAUUUUUGAGGCCCUGGAAAUUUGAUGUUGCGAAAACAAAGAAAAUGUGGGCCGAUAUGAUAUGCUCCUGUGGAGGAAGGGAUCUGGUGCUGACACCAGUAUGAGUUAUAUAUUCUAUAGCUCUUUGCUUUGAACUUGCCAUAUAUUCUACAAUCUCUGAUUCUCUGUUAGCUUUAACAAGCUUGUCAUGCAAGUGUGACAAACUAUGGAGGGUCGUUUUGAGAGGUCCUAUGUGUACUAAACCUGAUGCUUUGUUGGGCUGAAGGAGAGCUGAAAAUUUGAUGAAACUUGAUGGUCACGAUAUAUUUUUUUUUUUUUGAAAGGAGAUGGUAACGAUAUAUAUGGCUCAAGAGAGGAGGAAUUUGUAUCUCUGAGCGUGAUUGAAGGUUGGACAAUGUGUUUGAACUUGUGAAGCUGCUGCUUUGAACAACAUAUUAUGAUUGAUGUACAAUGCAAUGUGAAGUUCAUACAGACAUAAUCAAAUCACAUCACUUUGGACUCGCUAAUCAGGAGAAUGAUGACUCCAAUCUUCUAUCUGAACAUCACAGAAUGACUGAUUUCCGGAUGGAUGGUCAUCCUUUAAUUUACAAAAGCAGAUUUUGACUGAGGAGGACCUUUGAGGCUUCGAGAUAUUGCGAUUGCAGUCAUUGCUCCAUCUCUGGUUUUCCUGAUACAUGAGGCUAGAGCAUCAGCAAGUAGAUCCCAAAUAAUAGAUACGGAAGCUCAGCUAUUUGGAUAGCUACACUGCUAAAAAAAAUUUGGAGACAAUAAUCUGUAAUUCUUCAUUGGUAGUAGAUAACCACACAAUCUAACCUAAUGCGCGCAGUGUUCAAACCUCAUGGUUGUAAACUAUAUGGCCAAUGCGGCAAUGCUAGAAAUUUGACAGGACUUUUGUGAACACAAAUCUACGAAGAUGUGGUCGAUAAUUGUGAAUCCUAGCUAUCAUAGCUUUAUUCUAAACUC